ACACACGCGAUGAUAGGGACAGUACAUUUUUUAGUUUUUUAAGCGAGUCGGGGAACGGUGCGAGCCCGGUAAAGGCGAAAAAUGGAAUAUCACCCUGGAGCGCUCUUUCCGAACGACAUUCAAGUAGGGAAGAGCGGGUCAUUCACGAUACGAAUGCUUGAGUGAACACAUUUUUGUGUUAAGCAGGGUGGCACCGCGGGAAACCUUCUCGUCCCUUUU
rnacentral:ncRNA from 1 species